rnacentral:lncRNA from 1 species
CUCAAACGAUAUUGAAUGGGUAAGAUUAAGAAAAGUCAAAACAACUUAUAAACAUCAAUUGAUAACAAAAUUCAACAUUUUCACUUAAUUGCAUGAAGGGCAAAACUUUAAUGAUAAUUUAACAACACAAAAACUCAUAUUAUUUCUUUUCUUCUUAUUCUUCUUCUUUAACCUGUACAAUCAAGUAUGAGUCUCAGUUGUUUAACAUGCAAGAUAUCAAGAACAGAUUCAACAAAUGAAUUAAAUGACAAAAAAUUCAAUAGUAAUAUUGACAAAAAUAGUAAAGAAGAACACAAGUUUACUGUAGAAAGGAGCUGGUCAGGGAACUUGGCACCGAUAACUAGGCCCGAUGGAAACAUGACUCAUUCACUCUCGGUCAUCCCAGAGAACAAGGUCAAAAAAGGCCCGCACCGCCUUCACAAUAGCGGUCCGGUCGAGCUUUCAACGGGUAUACCCAAGUUAGUCAGGAGUCCUGGGAUCAGAAGGGAUUGGAGUUUUGAGGAUCUGCGCCGUCAGAUAGUACGUUAAAGCUGGAUAAAUUAAUGGAUCCAGGAUUAAUAUUUAAGUAUGAAUGGGUUCAAAAUGAGGGUAAUUUCAUUAUAUAUAUUACUACUUUUUUUUCCUUACAAUUGUAUGUAGUUCAAGUUUGAAAACAAACAAUGGACGAUUUAGUUGAACGUGCAAAUCCAGCAUGAAUUAAAUCCUUCUUUGGUUAAUAACAAACUAGAUAUGUUCAUAGGAUUAGUUAUGUAACGCAACAUUUCCUUCUUGAAAUUAAUUUAUAUUUUUCUGUAUCUUCACUUUAUUUUUCUCUCUAGUUACACCGCAUGUUUGAUAUGUGCUUCAAUAUCCACAAUAAAAAGAGAGAUUAAUAUUUCUGGAUGAAAUGAGAUUUUUUUAUGUAU